GGGUUGUGAGGUUAAGCGACUAAGCGUACACGGUGGAUGCCCUGGCAGUCAGAGGCGAUGAAGGGCGUGCUAAUCUGCGAUAAGCGCCGGUAAGGUGAUAUGAACCGUUAUAACCGGCGAUACCCGAAUGGGGAAACCCAGUGUGACUCGUCACACUAUCAUUAACUGAAUCCAUAGGUUAAUGAGGCGAACCGGGGGAACUGAAACAUCUAAGUACCCCGAGGAAAAGAAAUCAACCGAGAUUCCCCCAGUAGCGGCGAGCGAACGGGGAGGAGCCCAGAGCCUGAAUCAGCAUGUGUGUUAGUGGAAGCGUCUGGAAAGGCGCGCGAUACAGGGUGACAGCCCCGUACACAAAAGCGCAUGUGCUGUGAGCUCGAUGAGUAGGGCGGGACACGUGGUAUCCUGUCUGAAUAUGGGGGGACCAUCCUCCAAGGCUAAAUACUCCUGACUGACCGAUAGUGAACCAGUACCGUGAGGGAAAGGCGAAAAGAACCCCGGCGAGGGGAGUGAAAAAGAACCUGAAACCGUGUACGUACAAGCAGUGGGAGCCCCACCACUAAGCCAGUGGUGAACNUGUGAGCUCGAUGAGUAGGGCGGGACACGUGGUAUCCUGUCUGAAUAUGGGGGGACCAUCCUCCAAGGCUAAAUACUCCUGACUGACCGAUAGUGAACCAGUACCGUGAGGGAAAGGCGAAAAGAACCCCGGCGAGGGGAGUGAAAAAGAACCUGAAACCGUGUACGUACAAGCAGUGGGAGCCCCACCACUAAGCCAGUGGUGAACUCCACAUACGCAUCCUUUGCUGAGGAUACNNNNNAAAGAACCUGAAACCGUGUACGUACAAGCAGUGGGAGCACCCUUUGGGGUGUGACUGCGUACCUUUUGUAUAAUGGGUCAGCGACUUAUAUUCUGUAGCAAGGUUAACCGAAUAGGGGAGCCGUAGGGAAACCGAGUCUUAACCGGGCGUUAAGUUGCAGGGUAUAGACCCGAAACCCGGUGAUCUAGCCAUGGGCAGGUUGAAGGUUGGGUAACACUAACUGGAGGACCGAACCGACUAAUGUUGAAAAAUUAGCGGAUGACCUGUGGCUGGGGGUGAAAGGCCAAUCAAACCGGGAGAUAGCUGGUUCUCCCCGAAAGCUAUUUAGGUAGCGCCUCGUGAAUUCAUCUCCGGGGGUAGAGCACUGUUUCGGCUAGGGGGCCAUCCCGGCUUACCAACCCGAUGCAAACUGCGAAUACCGGAGAAUGUUAUCACGGGAGACACACGGCGGGUGCUAACGUCCGUCGUGAAGAGGGAAACAACCCAGACCGCCAGCUAAGGUCCCAAAGUCAUGGUUAAGUGGGAAACGAUGUGGGAAGGCCCAGACAGCCAGGAUGUUGGCUUAGAAGCAGCCAUCAUUUAAAGAAAGCGUAAUAGCUCACUGGUCGAGUCGGCCUGCGCGGAAGAUGUAACGGGGCUAAACCAUGCACCGAAGCUGCGGCAGCGACGCUUAUGCGUUNNNNNGUUGGGUAGGGGAGCGUUCUGUAAGCCUGUGAAGGUGGCCUGUGAGGGUUGCUGGAGGUAUCAGAAGUGCGAAUGCUGACAUAAGUAACGAUAAAGCGGGUGAAAAGCCCGCUCGCCGGAAGACCAAGGGUUCCUGUCCAACGUUAAUCGGGGCAGGGUGAGUCGACCCCUAAGGCGAGGCCGAAAGGCGUAGUCGAUGGGAAACAGGUUAAUAUUCCUGUACUUGGUGUUACUGCGAAGGGGGGACGGAGAAGGCUAUGUUGGCCGGGCGACGGUUGUCCCGGUUUAAGCGUGUAGGUGUGUGUUCCAGGUAAAUCCGGUUCACUUUAACANNNCUGAGGCGUGACGACGAGGCACUACGGUGCUGAAGCAACAAAUGCCCUGCUUCCAGGAAAAGCCUCUAAGCAUCAGGUAACAUCAAAUCGUACCCCAAACCGACACAGGUGGUCAGGUAGAGAAUACCAAGGCGCUUGAGAGAACUCGGGUGAAGGAACUAGGCAAAAUGGUGCCGUAACUUCGGGAGAAGGCACGCUGACACGUAGGUGAAGUGAUUUACUCAUGGAGCUGAAGUCAGUCGAAGAUACCAGCUGGCUGCAACUGUUUAUUAAAAACACAGCACUGUGCAAACACGAAAGUGGACGUAUACGGUGUGACGCCUGCCCGGUGCCGGAAGGUUAAUUGAUGGGGUCAGCGCAAGCGAAGCUCCUGAUCGAAGCCCCGGUAAACGGCGGCCGUAACUAUAACGGUCCUAAGGUAGCGAAAUUCCUUGUCGGGUAAGUUCCGACCUGCACGAAUGGCGUAAUGAUGGCCAGGCUGUCUCCACCCGAGACUCAGUGAAAUUGAACUCGCUGUGAAGAUGCAGUGUACCCGCGGCAAGACGGAAAGACCCCGUGAACCUUUACUAUAGCUUGACACUGAACAUUGAGCCUUGAUGUGUAGGAUAGGUGGGAGGCUUUGAAGCGUGGACGCCAGUCUGCGUGGAGCCGACCUUGAAAUACCACCCUUUAAUGUUUGAUGUUCUAACGUGGACCCGUAAUCCGGGUUGCGGACAGUGUCUGGUGGGUAGUUUGACUGGGGCGGUCUCCUCCUAAAGAGUAACGGAGGAGCACGAAGGUUGGCUAAUCCUGGUCGGACAUCAGGAGGUUAGUGCAAUGGCAUAAGCCAGCUUGACUGCGAGCGUGACGGCGCGAGCAGGUGCGAAAGCAGGUCAUAGUGAUCCGGUGGUUCUGAAUGGAAGGGCCAUCGCUCAACGGAUAAAAGGUACUCCGGGGAUAACAGGCUGAUACCGCCCAAGAGUUCAUAUCGACGGCGGUGUUUGGCACCUCGAUGUCGGCUCAUCACAUCCUGGGGCUGAAGUAGGUCCCAAGGGUAUGGCUGUUCGCCAUUUAAAGUGGUACGCGAGCUGGGUUUAGAACGUCGUGAGACAGUUCGGUCCCUAUCUGCCGUGGGCGCUGGAGAACUGAGGGGGGCUGCUCCUAGUACGAGAGGACCGGAGUGGACGCAUCACUGGUGUUCGGGUUGUCAUGCCAAUGGCACUGCCCGGUAGCUAAAUGCGGAAGAGAUAAGUGCUGAAAGCAUCUAAGCACGAAACUUGCCCCGAGAUGAGUUCUCCCUGAGACUUAGAGUCUCCUGAAGGAACGUUGAAGACGACGACGUUGAUAGGCCGGGUGUGUAAGCGCAGCGAUGCGUUGAGCUAACCGGUACUAAUGAACCGUGAGGCUUAACCUUACAACGCCGAAG
rnacentral:rRNA from 1 species